GUCUGUGGCCAUAGCACCCUGAAUGCACCUUGAUCUCAGAAGCUAAGCAGGGUCAAGCCUGGUUAGUACUCAGAUGGGAAAGGUGGCUUGAUCUGGCUGUGGAUA
rnacentral:rRNA from 1 species